rnacentral:misc_RNA from 1 species
GAUGAAGAACGCAGCGAAAUGCGAUAAGUAAUGUGAAUUGCAGAAUUCAGUGAAUCAUCAAAUCUUUGAACGCACAUUGCGCCCGCUAGUAUUCUGGCGGGCAUGCCUGUUCGAGCGUCAUUUCAACCAUCAAGCCCUGUUUAGGCUUGUGUUGGGGCCCUGCGGCUGCCGCAGCCCCCUAAAUGCAGUGGCGGGCUCGUUGUCACUCCGAGCGCAGUAGCGUAUCUCGCUCUGGGCGUGGCGGCGGGUGCUAGCCGUGAAACACCCACUAAGGUUGACCUCGGAUCAGGUAGGAAUACCCGCUGAACUUAAGCAUAUCAUAAGCGGAGGA